rnacentral:rRNA from 1 species
GAUGAACGCUGGCGGCGUGCCUAAUACAUGCAAGUCGAGCGAACGGACGAGAAGCUUGCUUCUCUGAUGUUAGCGGCGGACGGGUGAGUAACACGUGGAUAACCUACCUAUAAGACUGGGAUAACUUCGGGAAACCGGAGCUAAUACCGGAUAAUAUUUUGAACCGCAUGGUUCAAAAGUGAAAGACGGUCUUGCUGUCACUUAUAGAUGGAUCCGCGCUGCAUUAGCUAGUUGGUAAGGUAACGGCUUACCAAGGCAACGAUGCAUAGCCGACCUGAGAGAGUGAUAGGCCACACUGGAACUGAGACACGGUCCAGACUACUGCGGGAGGCAGCAGUAGGGUAUCUUCCGCAAUGGGCGAAAGCCUGACGGAGCAACGCCGCGUGAGUGAUGAAGGUCUUCCGAUCGUAAAACUCUGUUAUUAGGGAAGAACAUAUGUGUAAGUAACUGUGCACAUCUUGACGGUACCUAAUCAGAAAGCCACGGCUAACUACGUG